CAAGGCUGAGAUGGCGGCAGGGCUGCCUCAGUCCCGCUGUGGGCUCUUCCAACACCUGCUCUUCUCCCUCUGGGCCCUGCAGGGUGGCCUCCGAACCAGCGUCUCUGGAGUGGAAGUGACCCAACACCCACCACUGCCCAACAAACUGCAGGGCGAGACUGUGGAGCUGAGCUGCAAUGUUGAUGUAGACAACUAUCAGUUCUACUGGUACCACCAACGCCCUGGACACACGAACCUAAAGCAACUUGGGGUUAUCAAACCAUUUGCGAUUGGUGAGGGGAACAGACUGGAGGAGAAACCAGGUGGCGAAAUAGAUAGUCGGCUGAGUGGCAAACGAGAUGGCAGAACAGCAAAAUUGACUCUCAAAAGCCUCCAGCUUAACGACACAGGGCUGUAUCUCUGUGCUUCAAAGGACACAGUGACUGUGGCAGCACCAGGAGCUGUCACAAAACUGACUACCAAACAACAGUACGUCUUUCAAUGUGCUGCUGAGAAUCACAUCCUCUCUGUGUAUGAGGGGCAUGCCAUUAAGGCAUGUUGUGUCCUCGGGGCCCACUGGCCAGCUCUCUACAAAUUGUCUCUGUCUGUUUCUCACACCUAG